GACGAAUGCUGGCUGCGUGCUUAACACAUGCAAGUCGAACGGUGAAGGAGGGCUUGCCCUCCGGAUCAGUGGCGAACGGGUGAGUAACACGUGGGCAACCUGCCCCUCACUCUGGGAUAACGCCGGGAAACCGGCGCUAAUACCGGAUACGACCAGGCGCGACAUCUCGCCUGGUGGAAAGAAUUUCGGUGAGGGAUGGGCCCGCGGCCUAUCAGCUAGUUGGUGGGGUAACGGCCCACCAAGGCGACGACGGGUAGCCGGCCUGAGAGGGCGACCGGCCACACUGGGACUGAGACACGGCCCAGACUCCUACGGGAGGCAGCAGUGGGGAAUAUUGCGCAAUGGGCGAAAGCCUGACGCAGCGACGCAGCGUGAGGGACGAAGGCCUUCGGGUUGUAAACCUCUUUCAGCGGGGACGAAGCGAAAGUGACGGUACCCGCAGAAGAAGCACCGGCUAACUACGUGCCAGCAGCCGCAGUAAAAC
rnacentral:rRNA from 1 species